rnacentral:lncRNA from 1 species
AAUGUCACAUCUUUACUAUAUAACAGGAGUUCUGUACAAAAAUAAUUAAAUAAUUACAUCAUAUGAGGAAACGAUCCAGCAACCCAAAGUUGAAUGGGAGACGACGACCUAGACCUCUCACGAACACAUCGCAGCAUCCUCCAUGCGCCUCAUCCUGCAGUACCUGUUCUUGACCUGUGGGGGGUGUGAGACAGCAAGAGUGAGCUCACAUACGUUCAUCGCUCAACAAGUUGUGGGGAAUAAUGUGCAUGAACUCGCCAAAGGUGGGAGCUCACGUGAAGUGUAAGGCUUACCAAAGAGGAUGGUUAGAGCUGAGCAUUGCUUUUAAAGUUGGUCAAAAUUUUAUUAGCAAUUACUAAGUAUAAGUAAAUACCAUCCCAAUUAAGUAAUAGAACCAAAGUAACAACAUCACCUGCGAUGCAAUGCAUAUGACAUAUUGAAUUUAAGUUCCAUAAUUUAAUCAUGUGAGGGUCCGAGCCGCUCAUGACCGUGAGCACGGCUAGUAUACCAGUUUUACACUCUGCAGAGGUUGCACAUCUUUACCCACAAGUCAUGUUACCCAUCUGCCAAGGGAUCGCGACUUCCCAUACACCUCUACCGAGGAGGCGAGGCAGGGUAACACUACGAGGCCUUUACAAAGUUCCACUAGCUUCAGAAAACCCGCUACAGUUUAUAGGAAGCUCCAAUGCAGGAAUCCCUUGCAGGACCGCCAUCGCAGCAAAAUCCUCCCGAGGGCCUCCCUACACUGACCACUCCCCUACUGCCCUUGCCCCUUUCGGGUAAGGUAGUCCUCCACUAGCUUUCCUAAUUAAUCAGCCAAGGGCGUCCCAUUAUACCCUUGUGGUAGCACUGUUUUCCCGGGUGGUCGCUCCAUGUUCCAAUUAACAUAAUGAUCUUAUCAUGAACGAUAAAUAACAACGGAUAACAAAAGUAUAAUCAUGAGUAAUGUAUCUUCAUACCCAAAACCACAUAAAGCACUAGCAAGUACUACCCAAAAAGUUCAGUGGUAACAAGGUAUGAAGAUAAUCAAACUAGGGUAACCUAUUGGGUCCCAUCAAAAUUAACCUAUGCAGAUCAUUAUGAUUAAUCAGAACAUGGCUGGGUAAAAAGAAGUGAUCAAGGGCACAACUUGCCUGGGACUUGAGAUUCCAGGUACCAGGAUGAUCUUCAGAUUCUCGCGACCUCACGCUAGUCGUAGCAAUACAAACAAACAGUGUAUAGACAAAAUUAACAUUACACCAAACAUAAGUACAAACUGAAUAAUAAUAAUAAUCUACACGUUGCUACGAGAUCGCGGGACUGAGAACUACUAGGAUCAGAGUUACGAUUAAGGAGCUAUGAUUUUAUAGAAGAUCUACGUGCUUAAAAUAUUAAAAUAAAUUAGUUAAUAUAAAUCAUAUGAGAGGUUAUUCUAUAAAUACUUAUCUCAACUUUAAUCUAAGUUAUAAAUUUACCAUAAAUUAUAUUUUGGCGGAUAAUGUUGAGCACAUUAACAAGACUAACCAACAUAAGUUAAUUAAAGAUCUAAUCAUAAAAUAAUGAGACAUGGUAUAAUAAAUGUUGUUACUGCGUAGUAAAUACUUGCACGAAAUUAACGCAACUGAAACGAGUCAAAUCGGAAUUAUAGAUUUUAAGUUAUGAAUUUCUAGAGAUUCUAUGUGUUUUGUACAAGGUUAAAUAGGAUAUACAUUUUAAUGUGACAUUCAUGUCAAAACAGUGGUACUAUAUGAUAAACAAUAAUAUUAUAGAAUUAUAGAAAUUUGAAUGGGUCAAUUUGGACCUGAUAUGAAUUUUCUAUGGAUUAUACAAGUUUUACAAUUAUUUUUAUACUCAAAAUCAAUUUCUAAAUCUCAUUUUCCUAUUUUCUUUAAUUCCUGGACUGGGCGCACUAAUACAGAGAAGGUCGGGGUUUAUUCUGUAAAAUAUACCAGACUCAGCCUACUCCCGCGAGGACGACGGGUUUGUUUCUGUAUUCUGUAGGGGCUCAUCUGCAAAUGUACGUGAUCGAAGGGGUAUCGUGGAGUUUGGAUCGUCCGAUCAAAUUCGAACGGCCACGAUUACAACGAACUAAUUCUGAAUCGGUAAGCUACGCAGGUCCUUGGAUCAAGAUCUGAUGGCCAGAAGCGCGCGUUACCCAGCACCGCCAGAUCGACGAUCAACGGUACAUAUUAAAAUAGACCGAAAGGGUAAACGCCAUCUAAUCCUAGCCACACGCGCAUAGAUCAACGGCUGCUGGCCUUCUUCUACCCCACGGCGUCCAGACGGAGUUCCAGAGCUUGCCGCCGAUCCCCACCACUACCGAUUUGCAAAGUAAAAAGAUUAUCCCUAGAAUGCUUCACAGGGAAAGGGAAACUGAGCUCACCGGAGGUUAGUGCGCCAGGGAGAUGGGAUGCUCGCCACAGGUGACAAGCGACCCGGCGCCGGGACGAACGCCGCCGGUGUAGAUCUCUUCUCUCACCUCCCGCUCUCAUUGCGUCGAGUGGAAAAACGAGAGCGGUGAUGCUAGAUUGUGGUCUCUGCGAUACACCGAGGCUAGCCAAUGAGGUUGUGACUUCCUACUUAUACUCAUGGACGAGCCCGGCAGAGGGUAUUCGGUUGCGAGAAUUUCGGUAGGAAAAGUCCGAGCAAGGCGUCAUCCAUAGCUAUCUAGUUUUCUGGUCAAGGUUUGUUACAGGUGGAGAAAGAAAAAAAACGAUUGACAAAGCGGCCACGCACACCGGCGUUCCACACGCGGAGGUCCCCACCCGUCGUAGACACACCACAGACGUGCGUGCACAGUUUAGUUGGAUUAAAUAUGUUGGAUGAUGUCAUCAUGGCUGGAAAUAAUAAAAAAAACAAGAACAAAUGUGGGCUAUACGCUAGGGAGAUGGGCCAGCCAUUGUUUUUUAGGAGUCGGUCCAGAUUUCUUUUUUUCCCUUUUUUUAUUUCUAUUAUACUUUGAAUUUCCUUUCCUGUUUUGAAUCCCCAUAUUUAGAUUUCAAUUUCACACUAAUUUUGUUUCUAAAUGCACAACAAAUAAAUCACCAACAUGCACGUUAUGAUUUUUAUGUUGCUUAUUUAUUUACCACCUUACUUAUUUAUGCAGAUGCUUUCAACAUAUAUAAUUCAACAUUAUUAAUCUAUGUAAAGUGUGUCACCAUAUUUAUUUAUUUAAAAUCACAGCCAAAAUUUUAAUAUUUACUUAGUUUCAAAUACAUAAACUUUAGAAAUGCUCUUUAAUUAUUUCUUUAAUCUUUAGACAAUAUUUUUCUAAAUUCCAAAAUUAGGUUUUUUCUACCAAAUUUUAGGCUUUACAAAUCCUACCCCACUUAACAGAAAUCUCGUCCUCGAGAUUAGUAAGCAGAAGGGUUAUACCGAGGUUGGUUUAUAAUUGAGAUUGUAGUUUCUAAUUGAUUCAAAAAUUAAGAGUCUCUCUCUUUCUCUUUUUAAAAUACUAUUUAGCAAGUACUUAGAAAUGCAUGGGUAUCUUCUAUGUUUAGACACACAGGUAAGAAGAGAGAUGGUCAGAGUGAGGUUAGCUGAUGGUAAGAAGAACUUGGUAAGGGAAGACUCCGCCCAAGGUGGUAAAUUCGAAUCAUCUCGAGAUCUGAUUUGACUCCUAUUCUUCCAUGUCGAGGUUGAUCUCCUCCUUCUUACUCUUUGGUGUCUCCAUCCGGGUUUGGGACAGGAGGUUAAGAUAGAUCUAUUAUGUAGGUCAAGUUGUUGGGUAUGGCCGAGUUGAUCUAGGAUCUCAAACUUGUUUAUAGGAGCAGGGUCUAAUGUAUUUCACCAGGAUUAACUAACUUCUUAGGUCACUCUCUUUAAAUUGGAUCAUAGUAGAUUAGAUGGGAUCUAGAUUAGAUCGGUACAACUAGGUUAGACUAGAUAAUGUCUAAUUACUUUGGAUUAGAUCAUGGUUGUUACACUAGUGUGUGGUAAGUAUGCUUAUUAGGGCAAGAUGCAUUCAUAGGGAUAAGGUAGAAUCUUUUGAGGUUAGUUAGAUCUAUUAGGAUAAGAUAAAAUCUUUUCAAGAUAAGAUUAAUCUACUAAGGUAAUAGAGUAUCUUUUAAGAUAAGAUGGAUCUAUGAGUGUAGAAUAUGAAUCUUUUAAGCUAAGAUGGAUAUUGUUAGACUAGAUACUCUAGUUUAUCUAGUUAUUUUUUAUAGGUGUUUUUUUCUAUAUGUCUAUGCAGAUGUAAUUGUGGACAUUACUCCACAACUCAUCACACUCAAUCAAAAAUCCAAAUCAGACAAGUAUCACAAGAACAAACAUUCAGGCAUAUAGAUAAAAAAUAGUUUUGUUUUUGUUCCUAAGAAUAGGUCUCCUUUUCCUAAGGAUCACUUUAGGCACAGGAUUUCAAAGUGUGAAAUCCACAUUGGUCUUUAGAAAGAAAAAAAGUAAGAAUAAUCAGAGUAAAGCGGAAAUAGAUGAGAAAAGAUUAAGAAAAGUUUAGAAAAGAAUCAGAGUAGCAAAGGUAAGUAGAUAAGGGUUAUCCAGUUCUAUCUAGGUUUCGUCCUACAGUCAACAUUCCUCUGAUACCACUUCUGUCACACCCGGAUUUUAGGGGUCAAAAACUCGGGCGCGAACAUAAACACCAUGUGUGCUGGGACCAAGUCUCACACAUAUGAUGCAUAGUGGCACAGGAUCGAAUGUCACAUCUUUACUAUAUAACAGGAGUUCUGUACAAAAAUAAUUAAAUAAUUACAUCAUAUGAGGAAACGAUCCAGCAACCCAAAGUUGAAUGGGAGACGACGACCUAGACCUCUCACGAACACAUCGCAGCAUCCUCCAUGCGCCUCAUCCUGCAGUACCUGUUCUUGACCUGUGGGGGGUGUGAGACAGCAAGAGUGAGCUCACAUACGUUCAUCGCUCAACAAGUUGUGGGGAAUAAUGUGCAUGAACUCGCCAAAGGUGGGAGCUCACGUGAAGUGUAAGGCUUACCAAAGAGGAUGGUUAGAGCUGAGCAUUGCUUUUAAAGUUGGUCAAAAUUUUAUUAGCAAUUACUAAGUAUAAGUAAAUACCAUCCCAAUUAAGUAAUAGAACCAAAGUAACAACAUCACCUGCGAUGCAAUGCAUAUGACAUAUUGAAUUUAAGUUCCAUAAUUUAAUCAUGUGAGGGUCCGAGCCGCUCAUGACCGUGAGCACGGCUAGUAUACCAGUUUUACACUCUUCAGAGGUUGCGCAUCUUUACCCACAAGUCAUGUUACCCAUCUGCCAAGGGAUCGCGACUUCCCAUACACCUCUACCGAGGAGGCGAGGCAGGGUAACACUACGAGGCCUUUACAAAGUUCCACUAGCUUCAGAAAACCCGCUACAGUUUAUAGGAAGCUCCAAUGCAGGAAUCCCUUGCAGGACCGCCAUCGCAGCAAAAUCCUCCCGAGGGCCUCCCUACACUGACCACUCCCCUACUGCCCUUGCCCCUUUCGGGUAAGGUAGUCCUCCACUAGCUUUCCUAAUUAAUCAGCCAAGGGCGUCCCAUUAUACCCUUGUGGUAGCAUUGUUUUCCCGGGUGGUCGCUCCAUGUUCCAAUUAACAUAAUGAUCUUAUCAUGAACGAUAAAUAACAACGGAUAACAAAAGUAUAAUCAUGAGUAAUGUAUCUUCAUACCCAAAACCACAUAAAGCACUAGCAAGUACUACCCAAAAAGUUCAGUGGUAACAAGGUAUGAAGAUAAUCAAACUAGGGUAACCUAUUGGGUCCCAUCAAAAUUAACCUAUGCAGAUCAUUAUGAUUAAUCAGAACAUGGCUGGGUAAAAAGAAGUGAUCAAGGGCACAACUUGCCUGGGACUUGAGAUUCCAGGUACCAGGAUGAUCUUCAGAUUCUCGCGACCUCACGCUAGUCGUAGCAAUACAAACAAACAGUGUAUAGACAAAAUUAACAUUACACCAAACAUAAGUACAAACUGAAUAAUAAUAAUAAUCUACACGUUGCUACGAGAUCGCGGGACUGAGAACUACUAGGAUCAGAGUUACGAUUAAGGAGCUAUGAUUUUAUAGAAGAUCUACGUGCUUAAAAUAUUAAAAUAAAUUAGUUAAUAUAAAUCAUAUGAGAGGUUAUUCUAUAAAUACUUAUCUCAACUUUAAUCUAAGUUAUAAAUUUACCAUAAAUUAUAUUUUGGCGGAUAAUGUUGAGCACAUUAACAAGACUAACCAACAUAAGUUAAUUAAAGAUCUAAUCAUAAAAUAAUGAGACAUGGUAUAAUAAAUGUUGUUACUGCGUAGUAAAUACUUGCACGAAAUUAACGCAACUGAAACGAGUCAAAUCGGAAUUAUAGAUUUUAAGUUAUGAAUUUCUAGAGAUUCUAUGUGUUUUGUACAAGGUUAAAUAGGAUAUACAUUUUAAUGUGACAUUCAUGUCAAAACAGUGGUACUAUAUGAUAAACAAUAAUAUUAUAGAAUUAUAGAAAUUUGAAUGGGUCAAUUUGGACCUGAUAUGAAUUUUCUAUGGAUUAUACAAGUUUUACAAUUAUUUUUAUACUCAAAAUCAAUUUCUAAAUCUCAUUUUCCUAUUUUCUUUAAUUCCUGGACUGGGCGCACUAAUACAGAGAAGGUCGGGGUUUAUUCUGUAAAAUAUACCAGACUCAGCCUACUCCCGCGAGGACGACGGGUUUGUUUCUGUAUUCUGUAGGGGCUCAUCUGCAAAUGUACGUGAUCGAAGGGGUAUCGUGGAGUUUGGAUCGUCCGAUCAAAUUCGAACGGCCACGAUUACAACGAACUAAUUCUGAAUCGGUAAGCUACGCAGGUCCUUGGAUCAAGAUCUGAUGGCCAGAAGCGCGCGUUACCCAGCACCGCCAGAUCGACGAUCAACGGUACAUAUUAAAAUAGACCGAAAGGGUAAACGCCAUCUAAUCCUAGCCACACGCGCAUAGAUCAACGGCUGCUGGCCUUCUUCUACCCCACGGCGUCCAGACGGAGUUCCAGAGCUUGCCGCCGAUCCCCACCACUACCGAUUUGCAAAGUAAAAAGAUUAUCCCUAGAAUGCUUCACAGGGAAAGGGAAACUGAGCUCACCGGAGGUUAGUGCGCCAGGGAGAUGGGAUGCUCGCCACAGGUGACAAGCGACCCGGCGCCGGGACGAACGCCGCCGGUGUAGAUCUCUUCUCUCACCUCCCGCUCUCAUUGCGUCGAGUGGAAAAACGAGAGCGGUGAUGCUAGAUUGUGGUCUCUGCG